GACGAACGCUGGCGGCGUGCUUAACACAUGCAGGUCGAACGGAAAGGCCCUGCUUUUGUGGGGUGCUCGAGUGGCGAACGGGUGCGUAACACGUGAGUAACCUGCCCUUGACUUUGGGAUAACUUCAGGAAACUGGGGCUAAUACCGGAUAGGAGCUCCUGCUGCAUGGUGGGGGUUGGAAAGUUUCGGCGGUUGGGGAUGGACUCGCGGCUUAUCAGCUUGUUGGUGGGGUAGUGGCUUACCAAGGCUUUGACGGGUAGCCGGCCUGAGAGGGUGACCGGCCACAUUGGGACUGAGAUACGGCCCAGACUCCUACGGGAGGCAGCAGUGGGGAAUAUUGCACAAUGGGCGGAAGCCUGAUGCAGCAACGCCGCGUGCGGGAUGACGGCCUUCGGGUUGUAAACCGCUUUCGCCUGUGACGAAGCGUGAGUGACGGUAAUGGGUAAAGAAGCACCGGCUAACUACGUG
rnacentral:rRNA from 1 species